UGGUUUUCACUCUGAGCUCUAUUUGUUAAGAACCAAUCAGAUUCUCUUCUUCUGAAAGUUCAGCAACAGCAAGAGGAUACUUUCUCGUGAACAGAUUUAAAGAGACUUUAAAUUUAAACUCAAAGUUACAGUGGAGUUAGACAGAGUUACAGUGGUCCAUCCAUCCAUCCAUCCAUCCAUCCAUCUACCCAUCCAUCCAUCUUCUACCGCUUAUCCGGGGCCGGGUCGCGGGGGCAGCAAUCUAAGCUGGGAUGCCCAGACUUCCCUCUCGCCAGACACUUCCUCCAGCUCUUCCGGGGGAAUACCGAGGCGUUCCAAGGCCAGUCGAGAGACAUAGUCCCUCCAGCGUGUCCUAGGUCAGCGAGUUACAGUGGUGUUAAAGUUAUAUAUCCACUCAAUAAUAGAUUUAGAGUUUUAGUGAUCAGACAGUGAGAGAUGUCGAUCAGCAGCACAGUGAUGAAGACUCUGACCUUCUUCACAUUUUCUCUUAAUUUUUCAUCAGCAGACACCCACUUGCUGCAGUAUUAUUACACUGCAGUUAUACCUGGAGUAAAUUUUGCAGAAUUCACUGCUCUUGGUCUGGUGGAUCAUAAAGACGGAUUGGAUGCAUGUUACCGAUUCAGAUCACUGGAACAGAAACACACAGGCCAUGAAAUAUCAUCAGGAGAUUUUCAAAGUCAUUGUGGCUACAACAAUGCAGCGCUUUAAUCAGACUACAGGAGUUCAUACAGUCCAGAAGUGGCUGUGAGCUCGAUGAUGACGGGACUGUUAGAGGAUAAAAUCAGCUCAGUUAUGAUGGAGAAGAUUUUCUCAAUCCGGAUCUGAACACUCUCACAUGGACUGCAGCUAAACCACAAGCUGUGAUUACCAAGAACAAGUGGGAUAAUAUCCCUGGUAACAAUAAUAAGUGGAAGAAUUUCCUGGAGAAUGAGUGUAUUGAACGGUUAAAGAUGUACAUUUCUUACGGCAGAGAGACUAUGGAGAGGAAAGGCAUCAAAUGUGCUCCAGCCUCUGAAGAGUCUUCCUCCACCAACUCUUAAUGUGUGACUGUGUGUCUUCUUAAAGCAUGUGUUUACAGUGUCAUAUUGAAGAAAAUCUGUGUGAUUGUUCAGACUAUAUGCUGUGGUUCUAAUUGUACACUGAGCUCCAUGUCAGAACUGGUCGAUCUUUAUUGUGAGCAUAGAGUCGUCAUCCUGAAGUGAUCUGAGUUUGUUUGAUCAACUAACAAUUUAAAAUGUUUACUUUAUAAUGGGAAGAGGCACGGUGGCUUAGUGGUUAGCACGUUCGCCUCACACCUCCAGGGUUGGGGGUUCGAAUGCCGCCUCCGCCUUGUGUGUGUGUGGAGUUUG